GAUGAAGAACGUAGCGAAAUGCGAUAAGUAAUGUUAAUUGCAGAAUUCAGUGAAUCAUCGAAUCUUUGAACGCACCUUGCACCCUUUGGCAUUCCGAAGGGUAUGCUCGUUUGAGUGUCAUUGUACUCUCACACUCUCCGAUCCUAUGGAUUCGGGGAGCGGUGGACUUGGGUGUUGCUGCCUUUCCUUGUGGCUCACCUCAAAUGUGUCAGUGCACCUCUUGGUUGGACAUAGUACGGCGUGAUAAGUGUCUUCGCCGGCACCUCGCAAGAGGGUGGCCGAUCGGGAGCUCUGUGCUUUCAAACCGUCUUCGGACAAUUUCUGACAACUUGACCUCAAAUCGAGUAGGACUACCCGCUGAACUUAAGCAUAUCAAUAAGCGGAGGA
rnacentral:misc_RNA from 1 species